rnacentral:sRNA from 1 species
AAUAACUGUGUCGUCUCGUGUGGUAUCAGGUUGAUAUCUGUAAACUGAAUCAUGGAUGCCAACAAUACGACAAGCCCGUCGAAGACUGAUCGAGUAGGCCGCCCGGGAGUAGUCGACCAGCUCCCGUUGCAUUGCUGGCGUU